GUGGGGAAUAUUGGGCAAUGGGGGCAACCCUGACCCAGCAACGCCGCGUGAGGGAAGAAGGUUUUCGGAUUGUAAACCUCUGUCCUAUGGGAAGAAGGAAGUGACGGUACCAUAGGAGGAAGCCCCGGCUAACUACGUGCCAGCAGCCGCGGUAAUACGUAGGGGGCGAGCGUUGUCCGGAAUUACUGGGCGUAAAGGGUGCGCAGGUGGCCUGACAAGUCAGAUGUGAAAUACCGAUGCUUAACGUCGGGGCUGCAUUUGAAACUAUGAGGCUGGAGUGCAGGAGAGGGAAGCGGAAUUCCUAGUGUAGCGGUGAAAUGCAUAGAUAUUAGGAGGAACACCAGUGGCGAAGGCGGCUUUCUGGACUGUAACUGACACUGAGGCACGAAAGCGUGGGGAGCAAACAGGAUUAGAAACCCUGGUAGUCC
rnacentral:rRNA from 1 species